AUUGAACGCUGGCGGCAUGCCUUACACAUGCAAGUCGAACGGCAGCGGGGGAGAAGCUUGCUUUUCCUGCCGGCGAGUGGCGAACGGGUGAGUAAUACAUCGGAGCGUGCCCUGUAGUGGGGGAUAACUAGUCGAAAGAUUAGCUAAUACCGCAUACGACCUGAGGGUGAAAGUGGGGGACCGCAAGGCCUCAUGCUAUAGGAGCGGCCGAUGUCUGAUUAGCUAGUUGGUGGGGUAAAGGCCUACCAAGGCGACGAUCAGUAGCUGGUCUGAGAGGACGAUCAGCCACACUGGGACUGAGACACGGCCCAGACUCCUACGGGAGGCAGCAGUGGGGAAUUUUGGACAAUGGGCGAAAGCCUGAUCCAGCAAUGCCGCGUGUGUGAAGAAGGCCUUCGGGCUGUAAAGCACUUUUGUCCGGAAAGAAAUGGCUCUGGUUAAUACCUGGGGUCGAUGACGGUACCGGAAGAAUAAGGACCGGCUAACUACGUGACAGCCGCCGCAGUAA
rnacentral:rRNA from 1 species